ACCCGCUGAACUUAAGCAUAUCAAUAAGCGGAGGAAAAGAAACCAACAGGGAUUGUCUUAGUAACGGCGAGUGAAGCGACAAAAGCUCAAAUUUGAAAUCUGGCACCUUCGGUGUCCGAGUUGUAAUUUGAAGAAGGUAACUUUGGAGUUGGCUCUUGUCUAUGUUCCUUGGAACAGGACGUCACAGAGGGUGAGAAUCCCGUGCGAUGAGAUGUCCAACUCUAUGUAAAGUGCUUUCGAAGAGUCGAGUUGUUUGGGAAUGCAGCUCUAAGUGGGUGGUAAAUUCCAUCUAAAGCUAAAUAUUGGCGAGAGACCGAUAGCGAACAAGUACAGUGAUGGAAAGAUGAAAAGAACUUUGAAAAGAGAGUGAAAAAGUACGUGAAAUUGUUGAAAGGGAAGGGUUUGAGAUCAGACUUGGUAUUUUGUAUGUCUUGCUUUCGGGUGGGGCCUCUGCAGUUUACUGGGCCAGCAUCGGUUUGGACGGUAGGAUAAUGACAUUGGAAUGUGGCACUACUUCGGUGGUGUGUUAUAGACUUUGUUGAUACUGCCUGUCUAGACCGAGGACUGC
rnacentral:rRNA from 5 species